GUUUAUUGUUGUUGACAGACAUAUGUACAGUGAGACAAAAUGAGGACCACAUCGACGGCGAAUCCUUCAGAGAUGAUAGUUUAUAUCUGCGUCUUUUUUGUACAAUAGAGUACAGAAUACAUCCUGUGUCCAACUAAUGCAGAGUAUAUUCAAGCUGUCAACACACUGGUUGUGAAGAACCCUUUCCAGAGAAAUAUAGAUAGAAAUGACUGUGAAGCUUGUGUUGGGGAGGAUUCAAUGUCUGUUGAGGCACAUGUGAAUGUGCUACAAAGUGAGUAUCAGAAACACAUCCAGACACAUGGACUGUCAAAGACCACACGACAGGAACAUUCUCCUGGAGACGCUGAGAAAGCACGGAAGGAAUCUCUGUGGAAGAUGUACUCAAAAAAUACACAUACUUAAGGACACCUGCUGGAGGGGACCCGGCUACACCUUUCCUACCAUACACCUGAUGGAUACUGACUGUAAAAUGUCAAUCAUAGUUCGAGGGCUCAGUGUGGUGACAGAAGAUGGAACAGAUGUGUGUCAGUGCACCAGCCUUGAUGAAGCUUCAUAACAGCCUUCUGUGUGUAUUCUGCUUUCAACAUUGCAUAUCCACCACACCUGAGAAAGACACUGACUUUCCUUCAGAGGCACAUUGUCAACAUUAGAAGAUGGAGACAAGCACUGUCAGUAACGUUACUCUGAAUGAUUUGCCUCUUGUAUUAGAUCCUCAUGCCUUGACUGUAUACCAUUGCCCAAAGUGCACUCGAAGGACAUUCACUCUUUUGAAGUUAACCCGACAUGCUGCAGUGGUACAUGCACAUGAACCAAAUAGCUUGCUCUAUUCUUUUUCUAUUCUAUCUGUUUUCUUUUUAUUUAUUAUAUUAUUUAAAAGCCCUUGCUACGUGUACUGUGUUACCCUAACUGAGACUUGUUAUAGCUCUUAUAUAUCAUUGCACUUUUUGUUGUUUUUGAUUGCUUCCACUCUGUCCUCAUUUGUAAGUCGAUUUGAAUAAAAGCGUCUGCUAAAUGAAUAAAUGUAAAUGUAAAUAUUAAUAUAACCUGUGGUAUAGAUGAGUGCCAGUCAACUUUUUUCUGAUUCCAUUCUUUUAGAAACCAUGCACAGGAAGCAUAUGUACUUUUGGUACUCAGUGAAGAGUCAGUAGUACAGUUGUAUUAUAAUAUAAUGGAGAAGGGUCUGGCUGCAGACUUGCACUCUCAGA